UGGUCUUGGCCCCAGAAAAGCUGUUGGAGGGAGAGAUCAUAAACGCAUAUCUGACAGUGGUGGCAAGGAAAGCCAAUGCUGUCAUUAUCGAUUCACAUAUAAUGACGUCACUCCGGCAGGGAACACAGAGAGGUGGUUUAAGAAGGUUGGACCUUUUAAACUACAAUGUGGCAGCUGGAGCUGUCUGCAACGGGGGACACUGGACA